rnacentral:rRNA from 1 species
AUUGAACGCUGGCGGCAGGCCUAACACAUGCAAGUCGAGCGGAUGAAGGGAGCUUGCUCCUGGAUUCGGCGGCGGACGGGUGAGUAAUGCCUAGGAAUCUGCCUGGUAGUGGGGGAUAACGUCCGGAAACGGGCGCUAAUACCGCAUACGUCCUGAGGGAGAAAGUGGGAGAUCUUCGGACCUCACGCUAUCAGAUGAGCCUAGGUCGGAUUAGCUAGUUGGUGGGGUAAAGGCCUACCAAGGCGACGAUCCGUAACUGGUCUGAGAGGAUGAUCAGUCACACUGGAACUGAGACACGGUCCAGACUCCUACGGGAGGCAGCAGUGGGGAAUAUUGGACAAUGGGCGAAAGCCUGAUCCAGCCAUGCCGCGUGUGUGAAGAAGGUCUUCGGAUUGUAAAGCACUUUAAGUUGGGAGGAAGGGCAGUAAGUUAAUACCUUGCUGUUUUGACGUUACCAACAGAAUAAGCACCGGCUAACUUCGUG